rnacentral:tRNA from 1 species
GUGGGUGUAGUUCAGUGAUAGAGUUUAUGCUUAGCAUGCAUGAGGACCUAGGUUCAAUCGUUGCACACACA